AGCGAACGCUGGCGGCAGGCUUAACACAUGCAAGUCGAACGGGCACUUCGGUGCUAGUGGCAGACGGGUGAGUAACACGUGGGAACGUACCUUUCGGUUCGGAAUAAUUCAGGGAAACUUGGACUAAUACCGGAUACGCCCUUCGGGGGAAAGAUUUAUCGCCGAUAGAUCGGCCCGCGUCUGAUUAGCUAGUUGGUGAGGUAAUGGCUCACCAAGGCGACGAUCAGUAGCUGGUCUGAGAGGAUGAUCAGCCACAUUGGGACUGAGACACGGCCCAAACUCCUACGGGAGGCAGC
rnacentral:rRNA from 1 species